rnacentral:rRNA from 1 species
AUUGAACGCUGGCGGCAUGCUUUACACAUGCAAGUCGAACGGCAGCGCGGGCUUCGGCCUGGCGGCGAGUGGCGAACGGGUGAGUAAUACAUCGGAACGUGCCCAGUAGUGGGGGAUAGCUCGGCGAAAGCCGGAUUAAUACCGCAUACGACCUGAGGGUGAAAGCGGGGGAUCUUCGGACCUCGCGCUAUUUGAGCGGCCGAUGGCAGAUUAGCUAGUUGGUGGGGUAAAGGCCUACCAAGGCGACGAUCUGUAGCUGGUCUGAGAGGACGACCAGCCACACUGGGACUGAGGACAGGCCCCGACUCCUUAGGGGAGCCACCGUGGGGAAUUUUGGACAAUGGGGGAAAGCCUGAUCCAGCAAAGCCGCGUGUGUGAUGAAGGCCUUCGGGUUGUAAAGCACUUUUGGCGGGAACGAAAAGGACUGUGCCAAUACCACGGUUCGAUGACGGUACCCGCAGAAUAAGCACCGGCUAACUACGUG